rnacentral:rRNA from 1 species
GACGAACCGUCCUAACGUUGUUCGGAAUCACUGGGCUUAAAGGGCGCGUAGGCGGCUUGCCAAGUCAGGGGUGAAAUCCUGCAGCUUAACUGUAGAAGGGCCUUUGAUACUGGCGAGCUCGAGGGAGGUAGGGGUAUGUGGAACUUCCGGUGUAGCGGUGAAAUGCGUAGAUAUCGGAAGGAACAUCAGUGGCGAAAGCGGCUUCCUGGUCCAGCACCGACGUUCAGGCACGAAAGCGUGGGGAGCAAACAGG